UAAGCCACAAUACGUAUGUCUGGAGUCUGCUUUUCAAGGCAACAUUCCCAUUUCUUUAGAGCCAUUCUGAAAGAAAAACUGGACUUGGUUCACACUGACAGACAAGUGAUUUUAGUAGAAAAGGUGUCAGUUUUCAAAUCAAGAAGGAAUAACAAACUCAAAUCCAGAGGGAACAAACAAAAGAAGACCUGGACAACAUGAAGUCACUUAAACUAACUCUGAUUCUUAUUUCGCUGGCAAUCAUCACUCUCGUGAUAGAUAUUCAAGGUCAACUAUGUGAUCAAAAAACAUGCAAAGAUACCAAAGGCAGAUGCGCAAGGAAAGGACAAGGUAUGAAAUGUGCAAGGGUAGGGCGAACCUGUCGCUGCAAGUCAAGCUUAAUUCUGAACAAAUUUCCUCCGUUUUACGAGAAACAAUCGGUUAAUGGACUCGAAGCCACACUUGGCAUUUCUCUCAAUAUACAGAGUAACGGAAAUGCUGGAAGUGUCAUUGACAAUGACAAUACAAAUGACACAGAGUACUGACUGAUUUCAUGUUGUAAAUGGAAUAAUUAAUAUACUGAACGUGGUUUGUCGUGGAUACAGUUUUACCAAAUUGAAUGCUGAUUGUUAUGGUGAAACAAUUAGUAUAUAAAUAAUGUAGUUUACCAUA